rnacentral:lncRNA from 1 species
GGAUGUCAAUAGUUUUGUCGGUUGAAUUGAUGCAUUGGUUACAGCUUCAGUUAUAUACGAAACACCGUCAAUAACUCUUUGAGCAGUAUUCUGAGAUGCCAGUGAAGCAUUAGCCUGAAAUGAAAUGGACGGAGGGUAAGCUGCAUCCUCAGGAUUUUUAUUUCCGUACCAAAACUGUCGACUUCUAUAUAUCUCACCACAGUGUGGACAUUCUAUCACGUAUCCAGACCACGCAUACUUGGCGAAUCCAUACCAGCUUGCAUCACUCUGGGUUAGCGUACGACUAGUGACAACGACUUCACUUCCGUUGCCAUGACACUUUUUACAAAUGUAGACCAAGUUUUCAUACUGAUGCUGGUAACGACAUCUGCAAUACAUUAUAUUGUUAAUUAUUUUGCAUAUUCAGAAUUCAUUUGCAAUCAGGUCAAAAUUAAUCAGUAUUCAUUGUUGUUUUUUGUUCCAUUUUGAAGAGUCCAGCAUUCAAAAAUAUUAGCUAGUACUUCUAUAGGAACCUAUCUAAAUUGAGAUUAUUCAUUAUGAAUUUGAUAUGAUCAGUAAUAACGGAAGUAUUUCAACCUGGAAUCACUAGCAUGGGGUUUGCCUUCACGCAGGUGUCCCAUACUGUUGAUGCAUCUACAAUCACAGCUCAAGCACUUGACAGUGCAAGUAAAGUACUGGUCAGGAAAUAGGAUGUUUGACAAGUUUUCAAUUUCACCAGAAAAUUUAUCAUUGAGUAUUUUAAGAGUGCCAUAGACCAGGUGAGGCCUCCUAGCAGAACGAACAGUCGUAUUAUCCAGCUCAUUUUUAAUGGCCCUCCUCAAGGGUUGAUAAUCUGUUGGCGGAUUUGGCGUUUCGACACCAACAUACUUUAUUGAGCUAAACGCUUCGAUUUCCAACCGCAUCUGAUCAAAA